UUUCCGUAGGUGAACCUGCGGAAGGAUCAUUAUUGUAUAACCGAGGUACGAGGACUGUCGCUAACCCGCUAGUUCGGGCAGGCCCGAGUUCGCUCACACACAAGCAUCACACCCCUAUGUGCAACACCGCGGGGGUGCCCCUGUUGGUUGGUCGGUGGGGGGGUGAGGUUUGCAGGCAAGCAUGGUAUGCAUUGUAGGAUGUAUUUGUUGUUUUUUCGAUCACGCUAUAAAUACAAAUUACAACAACGGAACUCUUGGUUGUCGCAUCGAUGCAGAAAG
rnacentral:misc_RNA from 1 species